UUAACUCUCAGCGCCUUUUGCUCUCCCUCUCCCUUCCUCGUCCUCCCUUUGCUCCGCCACUCCACCAUUGCUGCCGGCUUGCCUCUGGACAACACCAACCCUGACUUGUGUCCCUCGGCCCUGUUCUCUUCCUCGUAGCACGGCUCUCUCUUCGUCGUCCUCCCCGGCACGGCUACGCCAUCGUCCUCUCCCAGCAGCACGCCAUCGUCCUCCACAGCUCCACGAAGGCCGCAGCAACACACCGUAGUCCUUGUAGUGCCUCUCUCUCCAUCGUCCUUUCUGCACUCUACCACUCUGUCUAUAUCAGCAGAUUAUCAAUAAUGGAGCCUAAGUCAGUUUGAUCAUAGUAUGAGGGAUAACAUUGGUGAAACUGAAGGUGGAAUUGGUGGAUAUGUAAUAUUGUAAUGCUUUCAAUGCCGUCGAACAGCACCGGCGGUAUAGGAUGCAUCCAAAGAUAUGCAAAUCCUCUUCACUGCAUUUUGAUGACAAUAAAGCACAAAAUAGGAGCCAAUAACGUAUAUUUGAUGGAUUGCUGCUGGUUGUUGACUUGUUUAUUUCAUUGUUGCUGCCUUGCUGGUUGUUCUGUUGAAUUACUGAAUUGCUUUUGAGUUUUGAAUUGAUUUAGUAUGAUUUAUCAAGUGUUGGAGGUUUUGAAUUACUGAAUUAUUGUUGAAUUACUUUAUUGUUGGUAUUGUUGAUGCUUGGUUAAUGAUUUUGUAAAUUGCUUGAUUUUGUAAAUUGUUUGUAAAUUGAUUUUGUUGUUUAAUGUAUUUCUUUAGUAAGUUUGAUGUCAGUUCAAGUGAGAAUAUGGGUGACACCGGAUUGUUGAUUUCAAUUGUGUAUUUGUGUUUGACAAUUUCAAUGUAUAAGACUUUGAAAAAUAGUAUUUUAGUA